rnacentral:misc_RNA from 1 species
UUUCCGUAGGUGAACCUGCGGAAGGAUCAUUAUUGUAUCACCGAGGUGCGAGGGCUGUCGCUUACCCGACAGGUUGUGCACGCCCGAGUGCCCCCCCACACCACCAUCUAACCCCUACGUGCACCACCGCGUGCGUCUCGCUUUUACUUGUUUGGAGAGGGGCUUCCGUAUUCACUCCAUUUUUGGUUUCAGCGCUGAAUGUCUUUUUUGUUUUUCCUAUCACGCCAGCUCUACUACUUUCCACAACGGUUCACUUGGCUCCCGCACCGAAGAAGAACC